CAGCGCCACGAGUGGGAACCACAAUUAUUGGGCCUAAAGCGUUCGUAGCCGGUUGUAUAAAUCUUUUGUGAAAUCGUCAGGCUUAACCUGCCGGAUGGCAGAAGAAACUGUACAACUAGGGACCGGAAGGAGUUAGGAGUAUUCCAGGGGGAGCGGUAAAAUGUUAUAAUCCCUGAAAGACUACCUGUGGCGAAGGCGCCUAACUAGUACGGGUCCGACGGUGAGGAACGAAAGCUAGGGGAGCGAUCCGGAUUAGAUACCCGAGUAGUCC
rnacentral:rRNA from 1 species